rnacentral:rRNA from 1 species
UACGUAGGUGGCAAGCGUUAUCCGGAUUUACUGGGUGUAAAGGGAGCGUAGACGGCCAGACAAGUCUGAAGUGAAAAUCCAGCGCUUAACGUUGGAAGUGCUUUGGAAACUGCCGGGCUAGAGUGCAGGAGGGGCAGGCGGAAUUCCUAGUGUAGCGGUGAAAUGCGUAGAUAUUAGGAGGAACACCAGUGGCGAAGGCGGCCUGCUGGACUGCAACUGACGUUGAGGCUCGAAGGCGUGGGGAGCAAACAGG